CCCUGCCCUUUGUACACACCGCCCGUCGCACCUACCGAUUGAAUGGUCCGGUGAAGACUCGAGACUGUGGUCUGGCUCCUUUAUUGGGGCUUGACCGCGGGAACUUGUCUAAACCUUAUCAUUUAGAG
rnacentral:rRNA from 1 species